rnacentral:rRNA from 1 species
GAAGUCUGACCGAGCAACGCCGCGUGAGUGAAGAAGGUUUUCGGAUCGUAAAGCUCUGUUGUAAGAGAAGAACGAGUGUGAGAGUGGAAAGUUCACACUGUGACGGUAUCUUACCAGAAAGGGACGGCUAACUACGUGCCAGCAGCCGCGGUAAUACGUAGGUCCCGAGCGUUGUCCGGAUUUAUUGGGCGUAAAGCGAGCGCAGGCGGUUAGAUAAGUCUGAAGUUAAAGGCUGUGGCUUAACCAUAGUACGCUUUGGAAACUGUUUAACUUGAGUGCAAGAGGGGAGAGUGGAAUUCCAUGUGUAGCGGUGAAAUGCGUAGAUAUAUGGAGGAACACCGGUGGCGAAAGCGGCUCUCUGGCUUGUAACUGACGCUGAGGCUCGAAAGCGUGGGGAGCAAACAGGAUUAGAUACCUGGUAAUCCACGCCGUAAACGAUGAGUGCUAGGUGUUAGACCCUUUCCGGGGUUUAGUGCCGCAGCUAACGCAUUAAGCACUCCGCCUGGGGGAGUACC